rnacentral:lncRNA from 12 species
UUCAGCCCAGUGACCUCUAUCUCUGCCUGGAGAGCCCAUUUUUUCUUCUGGGAAAGUCUGAUAGGGGAUGGAAUAGGGGUUAUGAAGAAGCAGAUGCCAACCCUUGGUUUCACCUCCCAGUGAAGACAGGGGGCCAGAGAGGCAAGCCUGGCCUCCACCCAGCUCCUCUGUGCUGGGAAGGGAGCCCCAACUACAGUGCCCUUCGGGCGGACUGCGUCACCGGACCCUUAACUCGAGAUCGGGUUCACUUACGGGACGAGACGGCUGUGCUGCGCGGCUGGGAUGCCACUAAAGCGGCCUCGCAGAAUUCUGUGCUUCCCCCUUCCCCGGACUUGCACCACUGGCCACAGCAAAAGCCACACUAGUUCAGAAGGAGCAGGGCAGGAACACCCCCUCCUUGAAGAUUUUUAAAAAUCAACUUUAUUGAGGUAUGACUGACGACAUACAAUGAAAAACGUACCC